AUAUAUAAGGAAUAUGGUACAGGUUGAAUUCAUACAUUUGCUCCAAUUGAAACGACCAGAGGCUUAUCAAAACCACAAAGACUAUGUGUUAAAGUGACCUUUCCUUUAUCACUAUACCUAGGAAGAAAGUCAUUGAUGGUUUAAUAUUCUUAAGUAAGGUUUAUGGUAUAUAUAAGGAAUACGGUAGAGGUUGAAUUCAUACAUUUGCUCUAAUUGGAAUGACCGGAGGCUUAUCAAAGUCACAAAGACUGUGUUAAGGCAAUCUGCGCUUGAUAUUUUGUCAAUCUCCUGCAUACAUAAGUCUCUCUGGCAUUUGACUGAACAAUUAAAUUUGUGCUUUAGUAUGGAAUUUAUAUAGUAUUAAACUACACAGUCAACAGUACUUUAAAGAGAGA